CCUACGGGAGGCAGCAGUAGGGAAUUUUCCACAAUGAGCGAAAGCCUGAUGGAGCAACGCCGCGUGCGUGAAGAAGGUCUUCGGAUCGUAAAGUCCUGUUGUUAGAGAAGAAAGUGCGUGAGAGGAAAUGAUCACGUAUCGACGGUACCUUACCAGAAAGCGAUGGCUAACUACGUGCCAGCAACCGCGGUAAUACGUAGGUGGCAAGCGUUAUCCGGAUUUAUUGGGCGUAAAGGGAACGAAGGCGGUUUUGUAAGUCUGAGGGGAAAACCCUCGGGUUAAACGGCGGAGCGCAUUGGAAACUGGGAAACUAGAGUGAGAAAGAGGUGAGUGGAACUCCAUGUGUAGCGGUGAAAUGCGUAGAUAUAUGGAAGAACACCAGAGGCGAAAGCAGCUCUCUGGUCCGUAACUGACGCUGAGGGACGAAAGCGUGGGGAGCAAACAGGAUUAGAUACCCUUGUAGUC
rnacentral:rRNA from 1 species